AUGACUCUCAGCAACGGAUAUCUUGGCUCUUGCAACGAUGAUGCGAUACCUAGUGUGAAUUGCAGAAUUCCGCGAAUCAUCGAGUUUUUGAACGCAAGUUGCGCCCGAGGCUCGUCCGAGGGCAUGCCUGCCUGAGCGUCC
rnacentral:rRNA from 1 species